rnacentral:rRNA from 1 species
UUCUGGUUGAUCCUGCCGGAGGCUACCGCUAUUGGAGUUCGAUUAAGCCAUGCGAGUCGAGAGUCUUAGGGACUCGGCGUACCGCUCAGUAACACGUGGGUAACCUGCCCUAUGCUGGGGAAUAACCUCGGGAAACUGAGAAUAAUACCUCAUAGUCCACAAUGCCUGGAACGGUUUGUGGAUUAAAGCCCCGGCGGCAUAGGAUGGGCCUGCGGCGUAUCAGGUUGUAGGGGGUGUAACGUACCCUCUAGCCAUCAACGCGUACGGGUGUUGGGAGACAUAGCCCGGAGAUGGAUUCUGAGACACGAAUCCAGACCCUACGGGGUGCAGCAGGCGCGAAAACUUGGCAAUGCGAGAAAUCGUGACCAGGGAACUCCAAGUGGCUGGGGUAAGACCCAGUCUUUUCUUGACUCUUCAAAGGUCUUGGGAUAAGAGGUGGGUAAGGACGGUGCCAGCCGCCGCGGUAAUACCGGCGCCUCAAGUGGUAGUCGAUUUUAUUGGGCCUAAAACGUCCGUAGCCUGUUUGGUACAUUCGUGGGUAAAUCAACCAGCUUAACUGGU